AGAUUGAACGCUGGCGGCAUGCUUUACACAUGCAAGGUCGAACGGCGAGCACGGGGGGCAACCCUGGUGGCGAGUGGCGAAACGGGUGAGUAAUGCAUCGGAACGUAUCCUUGAGUGGGGGAUAACGCAGCGAAAGUUGUUGCUAAUACCGCAUACGACCGGAGAGGUAGAAAGCGGGGGACCGAAAGGCCUCGCGCAGCAGGAUGAGCCGAUGUCCGAUUAGCUGGUUGGNGGGUAAAGGCCUACCAAGGCGACGAUCGGUAGCUGGUCUGAGGAGGAUGAUCAGCCACACUGGGACUGAGACACGGCCCAGACUCCUACGGGAGGCAGC
rnacentral:rRNA from 1 species